UAUUGCACAAUGGGGGAAACCCUGAUGCAGCGACGCCGCGUGAGUGAAGAAGUAAUUCGUUAUGUAAAGCUCUAUCAGCAGGGAAGAAAAUGACGGUACCUGAGUAAGAAGCCCCGGCCAACUACGUGCCAGCAGCCGCGGUAAUACGUAGGGGGCAAGCGUUAUCCGGAUUUACUGGGUGUAAAGGGAGCGUAGACGGCAGUGCAAGUCUGGAGUGAAAGGCGGGGGCUCAACCCCCGGACUGCUCUGGAAACUGUACGGCUGGAGUGCAGGAGAGGUAAGUGGAAUUCCUAGUGUAGCGGUGAAAUGCGUAGAUAUUAGGAGGAACACCAGUGGCGAAGGCGGCUUACUGGACUGUAACUGACGUUGAGGCUCGAAAGCGUGGGGAGCAAACAGG
rnacentral:rRNA from 1 species